rnacentral:rRNA from 1 species
AGUGAACGCUGGCGGUAGGCCUAACACACGCAAGUCGAACGGCAGCACAGUAAGAGCUUGCUCUUACGGGUGGCGAGUGGCGGACGGGUGAGGAAUACAUCGGAAUCUACUUUUUCGUGGGGGAUAACGUAGGGAAACUUACGCUAAUACCGCAUACGACCUACGGGUGAAAGCAGGGGAUCUUCGGACCUUGCGCGAUUGAAUGAGCCGAUGUCGGAUUAGCUAGUUGGCGGGGUAAAGGCCCACCAAGGCGACGAUCCGUAGCUGGUCUGAGAGGAUGAUCAGCCACACUGGAACUGAGACACGGUCCAGACUCCUACGGGAGGCAGCAGUGGGGAAUAUUGGACAAUGGGCGCAAGCCUGAUCCAGCCAUACCGCGUGGGUGAAGAAGGCCUUCGGGCUGUAAAGCCCUUUUGUUGGGAAAGAAAAGCAGCAGGUUAAUACCCCGCUGUUCUGACGGUACCCAAAGAAUAAGCACCGGCUAACUUCGU